GAGAGAUGAGGCAUUGAAGAAUUUGCAAAACAAUUUAAUUUCAAUAACAAAAAGGCUUUGCCAAAGAGAUAAGUAUGGAAAAGAUGGAUCUAGCAAAGACGCUGCUGGACAAACAUGCAAAAGCAUUCGAAAUUACUUUCAACAAAGUGCUAUCUCUUCCGUUCGUUGGAUUAACCCUAGCCAUACGCCUGGUGGUGAAUUUCAAAUUUAUUGUGACAUGAAUUGAUUUGGUGGUGGGUGGAAUCUUAUCUACUCGAGUCGAGACGACUCUAGUGGUCACAACAACAUGAAAAAAGGAGAUAGAUCAACUGCACACAUCACUAGUCUAGACUCAGGAAAUGCUAAUAAGCGUCUGGCAUAUGACGUAUUUAAAGCCAUAGAAGCAAGCAGUAUAGGAUACGAGGAAGUGAUGCUGACUGGAUACAGAGACUACAGACAUAAAACUUCGUUGAUCAAGAUGUAUUUCAAUAAAACUGCAACAUCAGGAGUUAGUUUCAGUCGGCUCAUAGAAGGAGGAAUCACUCGUACAAG